GAUGAACGCUGGCGGCGUGCCUAAUACAUGCAAGUCGAGCGAACAGAUAAGGAGCUUGCUCCUUUGACGUUAGCGGCGGACGGGUGAGUAACACGUGGGUAACCUACCUAUAAGACUGGGAUAACUUCGGGAAACCGGAGCUAAUACCGGAUAAUAUUUCGAACCGCAUGGUUCGAUAGUGAAAGAUGGUUUUGCUAUCACUUAUAGAUGGACCCGCGCCGUAUUAGCUAGUUGGUAAGGUAACGGCUUACCAAGGCGACGAUACGUAGCCGACCUGAGAGGGUGAUCGGCCACACUGGAACUGAGACACGGUCCAGACUCCUACGGGAGGCAGCAGUAGGGAAUCUUCCGCAAUGGGCGAAAGCCUGACGGAGCAACGCCGCGUGAGUGAUGAAGGUCUUCGGACCGUAAAACUCUGUUAUUAGGGAAGAACAUACGUGUAAGUAACUGUGCACGUCUUGACGGUACCUAAUCAGAAAGCCACGGCUAACUACGUG
rnacentral:rRNA from 1 species